rnacentral:lncRNA from 1 species
AGGAGAACAAGUGUGGCCCGAUCUUCCGAAACUUUCUGGUAACUAUCGAUUUGGUGGAAACGAGAGACAUAUCAAUCCAGCUUGCGAACAACACAAUUCGAAACCCUGCAAUUCUUUUUAUUUUUUUUUUGAUAUUUUUCUUUUACUAAGGAGCACUCAAGAAGUAACCACAGGAAAUUUGAGCUUAAACAAGUGAAAGACGUGGCCUGUGG